CAUUCACCUCAGUUCAUCUCAUCAUAUAGGCAUUGUAUCAUCUCACAUCAUCACACAAAGAAGGAACUCAGGACACAGGAUUCAAGAACCAUGAAUCAUAAAAUCAGAGAGGCUGUGAACAUAUCAAGAACCAAAUAUGGGGUGGGGAGAAUCUCUUAAUAUGCACCUUCUCUGAAACUUCAGAAACUUCAGGAGAA